rnacentral:rRNA from 1 species
AGAAUCAACGCUGGCGGCGUGCCUAACACAUGCAAGUCGAACGAGAAAGUGGAGCAAUCCAUGAGUAAAGUGGCGACCGGGUGAGUAACACGUGACUAACCUACCUUCGAGUGGGGGAUAACCUCGGGAAACCGAGGCUAAUACCGCAUAACAUCGCAAGAUCAAAGCCGAAAGGCGCUUGAGGAGGGGGUCGCGGCUGAUUAGCUAGUUGGUAGGGUAAUGGCCUACCAAGGCUUAGAUCGGUA